GGAUGUGAGGGCGAUCUGGCUGUGACAUAUGUCACCCCAUUGAUCACCAGGGUUGAUUUGGCUAAUCUGGCUGGCUAGGCGGGUGUCUCAUGCCUCCGUCAAAGGUCCAUGUGCAUCCCUCCCGAAGCUGUACUAGAUGACUGAGAAUAGAGAUGGACUAGUCUUUGGUCUAGUGUAUAUGAGUAGCUGCGCUUCCCUGCUAGAACCUCCAAACAAGCUCUCAAAGAUUUGCAGUAUCAUACACAACAUCACCAUAAUUUAUAUCCUUUGAUAUUAUUUGUAUAU
ensembl:misc_RNA 7SK 7SK RNA